rnacentral:rRNA from 1 species
AUCGAAAUAUUUAUAUUUUGAAGCGGUUAGUGGCGGACUGGUGAGUAACGCGUAAGGAACCUGCCUAUUAGAGGGGAAUAACAGUGAGAAAUCAUUGCUAAUACCGCAUAUGCCAUAGAUAUCACAUGAUAACAGUGGGAAAGGAGCAAUCCGCUAAUAGAUGGCCUUGCGUCUGAUUAGAUAGUUGGUGGGGUAACGGCCUACCAAGUCGACGAUCAGUAGCCGGACUGAGAGGUUGAACGGCCACAUUGGGACUGAGAUACGGCCCAGACUCCUACGGGAGGCAACAGUCGGGAAUAUUGCGCAAUGGAGGAAACUCUGACGCAGUGACGCCGCGUAUAGGAAGAAGGUUUUCGGAUUGUAAACUAUUGUCGUUAGGGAAGAGAAAGGACAGCACCUAAGGAGGAAGCUCCGGCUAACUACGUGCCAGCAGCCGCGGUAAUACGUAGGGAGCGAGCGUUAUCCGGAAUUAUUGGGUGUAAAGGGUGCGUAGACGGGAGAACAAGUUAGUUGUGAAAUACCUCGGCUCAACUGAGGAACUGCAACUAAAACUGUACUUCUUGAGUGCAGGAGAGGUAAGUGGAAUUCCUAGUGUAGCGGUGAAAUGCGUAGAUAUUAGGAGGAACACCAGUGGCGAAGGCGACUUACUGGACUGUAACUGACGUUGA